AAAAAUAUCCAUAAGGUAGAUUAGACUAGAUCUAUGUUAUAUGAUAAAUGUUAUUUUUAUAGUAUUUUUAAUAUAGUUUUUAUUAGGAUUUUUUUGUAUUUUUAAUUACUGUAAUUAGUUUUUAUUUAGUUUUAUUUAUAUUUUUGUGUAAAGCUUUCUUGAAUCAUAAUCCACUUGAUCUUAAAGAAAUUUGCAGGGUUUUGGCACAGAAAAGAGCAUUAUAAAGUAAAACACUCAGGUUCUAGCACACCCAGCCCGUGCACCUUAGCACGCCCGUGCUAAGCUUAAGAGAAAUCAAGUGGAGAGUCAGACUCUAGCAUGGCCAACCCCUGCUAUCUGGCACGCCCGUGCCCAAAAGAACCUCAGGGCGUGUUUGCCUAGCACGCCCGUGAUACAAUCUAUCUUGGAAAGACAGAGCCUAGCAUGCCCUGCCUGUGCUAGAGCGCACGCCCGUGCCAUAAAGACUCCUCUGAGCGUGUUGCAGAGCACGGCCCAUGCUAAAUCAUUCAUAGAUCCAGACUCUAGCACGCCCAAGCCGUGUUAGAUGGCACGCCCGUGCUACUAAGGCAGAGCUGUCUUGAACUAAAAAUGCAAGCCAAACUUUUUUCUCACAUGGACCUGCCUCACAUAUUUUCCUAAACGUGCAAAACAAGGUCUAAACCUAUUUAGGAAGAGAGAAGAGUCUUAACUAAGAAAAAAUCCAAAGCCUAAACAGUCAUAAUCUCCUAAGAAGAUUUCGUACUUAAUAAGGAUUCUAUUUCCUAAACGGAGUCAGAGUUUUUUCCUGGAGGUCUAUAUAAAGAAGGGAGCUAUUCAUUGUAAAGGUAUCUUGAGUUCUAGUAUUUUUUUUACAUAGUUCUCUCUCUCUCAAAGAUUUCAAGCAUCCAAGAUUUGUGCCAAGAUUCAAGGAAGUCGUCCACGUAACUGUUGUCUAGUUUUUAUUUUUAAACUCUUAAUCUUGUCUUUCUUUUCAUUAUUCUUUAUUGAUUAUGAAGUUUUAUUCAAGUAUUAUUGAGUUUUAUUUAAUUACUAUGUCGAACUAAAACCCUCAUACUAGGGAUUUGAUGUA
rnacentral:lncRNA from 1 species